ACGCGCGGAACCUUACCAGGUCUUGACAUCCCAUUGACCGCUAUGGAGACAUAGUUUUCCCUUCGGGGACAGUGGUGACAGGUGGUGCAUGGUUGUCGUCAGCUCGUGUCGUGAGAUGUUGGGUUAAGUCCCGCAACGAGCGCAACCCUUGUCCUUAGUUGCCAGCAUUCAGUUGGGCACUCUAAGGAGACUGCCGGUGACAAACCGGAGGAAGGUGGGGAUGACGUCAAAUCAUCAUGCCCCUUAUGACCUGGGCUACACACGUGCUACAAUGGACGGUACAAACGGUUGCCAACCCGCGAGGGGGAGCUAAUCCGAUAAAACCGUUCUCAGUUCGGAUUGUAGGCUGCAACUCGCCUACAUGAAGCUGGAAUCGCUAGUAAUCGCGGAUCAGCAUGCCGCGGUGAAUACGUUCCCGGGCCUUGCACACACCGCCCGU
rnacentral:rRNA from 1 species